UUGAGUGACAUAGCUCUUAUGAGCUAUAUUGCCAAAGUCAACAAGUCGAAGUGUCGCAUAUAACUUGUUGCAAGCUUAAACCUAUAGCUUAUACUGACUUGGUGGGUGGAUAGUAAUAUUCACCUACCGCAAGCGACACUAAAGUCAGGUAAGCUAUAUUGCUAAAAUAUGUACCUGUAAGGGGGUAGUAAUACCAACCAAAACGGUAUUUAGCAAAAAUUACAAAUACUUGUAAAGGGGGAGGAAUCUAUCUUUCUCCAUCCAAAACAGUAUUUGUAAAAAAAGCCUUUGCGCUUUUCUUUUCUUUGUGCCUAUUAAGUAAAUAAAUAAAUUAUACC
rnacentral:misc_RNA from 1 species